rnacentral:rRNA from 1 species
CCCUUAGAUGUUCUGGGCCGCACGCGCGCUACACUGAUGCAUUCAACGAGUUUCUUCCUGGUCCGAGAGGAAUGGGUAACCUUUUGAAAGUGGAUCGUGAUAGGGAUAGACUAUUGCAAUUAUUGGUCUUCAACGAGGAAUUCCUAGUAGACGUAGUUCAUCAGACUGCAUCGAUUACGUCCCUGCCCUUUGUACACACCGCCCGUCGCUCCUACCGAUUGAAUGCUCAGGUGAGCCAUUCGGACUUUCAUCAUGCUGGUUUCCAGUUUUGAUGAAGGAAAGUCUUGCGAACCUUAUCAUUUAGAGGAAGGAGAAGUCGUAACA